AUAAUCUUGAAAUGAAGCAAAAAGUUAGAGAAACAAAGUGGACCAAAACAGUUGAUCUCUUUCUGAAAGAAGUUCUGGGUGAAGCAGUUGAAAUGCUGCAAGAACAUUUAUUAGCAAAAUCUGGUUUACAAAACUUAACAAGAAGAACAUCUUGAAUUUCAGUUCAUAAAGAUGUACACCAUGUAAUGUUUGCAGCUGAAAUGUGCCAAGUGCAAUCAUUUGCAAAAUCUGGUUUACAAAACUUCAAAAGAAAGAANUCNUUAAAUUCAAGUUCAUGAAGAUAAUUAUUGCUGCUGAAAUGUGCCAAUGCAAAAACAUUUAUUAGCAACAUCUGGUUUACAAAACUUGAAAAGAAGAACAUCUCAAAUUUCAGAUCAUUACACCAUCAGCCAAAAUGUGGCAAGAUUUGCAAAAUCUGGUUUACAGAACUUAAAAAGAAACUCCACCUCUAAUUUAAGUCCAAUCAUAAAGAUGUAAUACUCCAGUCAUGAGAUCUUAUUUGUGCAGUCUUAACUUAAAAACAUGCAAUAUAUUCUUUUAUUCAGCAGAGAACCUACAGUAAUGCAAAAACUCUGUGUAUAAAGAAGACAAUAUUAAACAACUUAUGCUUGAUUGAAGCUAAGCUUCCACAAANGAGAUUUUCGAAACUGGACUAUUCUUAAGAAAUAUAAUGUAAUCAUACAUUGACAAGUACUUUGUGUAUCACUAUGCUAUCAUAGAGUGAUCACAUUAAAGCAUGCAACUGUACAAAAUCUAAUUUUUAGUAUAUAUUUGUACCAAAAGUGGACUUGGAGCAAGACGGUAUUGAAUACUUCAUUUGUAUCAAUUCAAUUCAAUUUGUGUACUGCAUGCACGAUUUGCUCAAUAUAACUAAAUAGAACUAUUUAGUUUGUACAGUGGAAUGGAUUAAGUGUGAUCACUCUAACAGUGAGAGUUCUUCCAGUAAAAUAUAUGAUUUUGUGCUGUAUUUUAUGCUAAUUCUUAAUUGUUUUCUUUUGUUCAACUAGCACUAUUUUCCACAAUUAUUUUGUAAUUAAUGUUCAAAGCUUUACUGAAAGCUUGCAAAGGUGAUAACCCUGGUUCCAGAGGUUUGAUAUUU
rnacentral:misc_RNA from 1 species